AAAAUGUACUGGAGACCAAACUAAAUGUUUCACAUUAAGUAGUGGAAUCGCUUUCCUUAGUGGUAGGUGUCCAGUUUUUAUCCAUCUUCAUUCAGAUAUAUUUUAGCCAUCUGAGUGCAACUAUUUGUUAAAGAGUGGAUAUCAUGACUGUUUGAUGUGUACUGAUAUACAUGUUCUUUAAUAUUUACAGGUAUUUUUGUUCCCACUAAAAUAAAAGGAUGCACCACUGAAAAUGCUUGCACCGACCCUCUUCCACCUUCCCCAAUCUCUCCAUUAAAAACUGGGUUUAACUUUACCUGUCCUUAAGAUUGACCAAAGAUCAAACAAUCUACAGAAGAUGCACAUAGAUUGAAAGAAGACAAGUUGCAUUAAUUCGAGUGUUAUGGGUAGAUCAAAUUAAUAUAAAGCAAUAAUGAUAAACACAAAUAAAUAUGUAUAAUUAUAUGUAUGAUACAAUAUCAGCAUGG